GCGGUGAUGACGAUUAUAUCAAAGCACGUGUUAGACUGCUGACAACGGUGAUGCGAACUGGAGUCUGAGC